AAUAAAUCAAUUUUUUACGUUUUACCAACAAUUUUUGACUCUUUGUCUUAUUCAAAAAAAUUUUGCGAUUCAGAUUUUUAUUUUUAUUAGAUGAUAAAUCAUGAAUAAUACUUUACGUGUGACUAAUUUUUUUCUAAUUUUUUUAAAAAAUUUUCAAAUAAGACAAAUGAUCAAACGUUGGACAUGGAACCGGAGAAUUGAUU
rnacentral:pre_miRNA from 1 species